GCCUGGGUGGCUCAGUCGGUUGAGCGGCCGACUUCCGCUCAGGUCAUGAUCUCACGGUUCGCGGGUUCGAGCCCCGCGUCAGGCU
rnacentral:tRNA from 1 species